GCUUCCGACCAUGCCCAGAUCCAAAUUCAGCUGGCAGUGCCUUAUACCCGGGCUCUCCUCGAACCAAAGCUCUACUCAGUUUCACCAUGUGAGGCAGGACAAGCAAUAAUUCAGAGAGCUCAGUGACCCAUCCCCUGCAUCUUCUUUGCAAGGUGGAAGCCAUAUGAAAUCAUUUUCUGAGAAAACAAAAGUGAGAGGCGCAGUGAACAAAGAUAAAGAAAAAGCAAAAAGAGAAAAGAAAGGAAGUGGGAAAUUAUGCUCUAAAAUGUGAAAAGCCACAAACAAAAAAGGGUGUCGACCACUGGAAGAAGAUAACUUUAUUAUCUUUAUUAUCAGUGCAUCAACAUUUUGUCGACCACCAAAGAAGAUGCCUACCAACAAUGAAAUUUUCAUCAUGAAAGGGAAUGCAUGUUCCCUGCCCAUUCUCUGAGAAAGCUACAGGAAGACCUAGGAGGAAGAUAAGGGUUCCUUACUUUAAAUGAUGUAAUUUAUUUUUUUUAUCUUUCGGAGACAUCUGUAUAACCCCAUCAGAGGGUAAUAAAAAAACGGCAAGCCCAAAAUAAUGGGCUGGAAUGUUAUGUGGAGGGCAAAGGCCCAUAUGCC
rnacentral:lncRNA from 1 species